ACACCCUAGCGAACCCUAGCGCUCCCCGAUCCCUCUCCCCUCCCCUCCCCUCCCCUCGCCGCCACCCACCUCUCCCAUCGCUCUCCAAGAUCCAGCGUGCUCCAAGAUCCAGCGCGCGGCCUUCCUCUCCUCGAUCCCCAAUCCGGCUACAAAGAUGGCUGCUCCCGCGUCGGCCUUCUUCCUCGCCCCUGAUGCCACUGCUGUCUCCUCUCCGGUGAAUGCGGAGGAGCCACCGCCGUCGAGGCAGCCGCCGGUUGGAGCCUCGCCUCUUCUCCUCUCCGGUCGCCGUGGAGGUCCGCCGCGUCCAACGUCCUCGACGCCGCCCGGAACCCUAGGCGGCCCAUCUCUUCCUCCCAUGGCCAUGGCCAUGGCGAGCCUGCAAGAUGUGCAGCAUCAGAUAUUGAUUUCCCAGCUCGCCUGACGGCCCGCUCUCCUCGGCCCCGCGCAGAUCUUCGAGUACAACGGCUCCGCACCCUGCAGCCACCGGUCCGGGACGAGCGCAGCGCCGGUUCGGGUGUCCUGCGCCAACCAGAGCGCGCCCCAGGUGCUCGACAGAACGCCCGCUGCAGUGGUCGGGUGGUGCAGUGGUCAUAAGAAUACGCUCGGGAACAUCGAGUCAGGUCUACUAGGGCGGCAUCCGCGGCUGUCGUCGUCGGCUACUUCAUCUACAAAGGCUCCAAGCUCGCCCACGACUCCACUACCCUCCAGUAUGCAUACCCAAGACAAGCUUGCGGUCAUGAUGAAGGUGCUGAUCUGUGUUUCCUAUCUUCAGAAGUAAAAUGUUUGCUUGCUACCUUCUUUAGGGAGCUCCAGGUCUACAAAAUUUGAAGUUCGAAACCAUAUAGCUCUACUCAGCAAAGAGCUCUUCUAUUUGAUUGUAAUAGAAUGUAAAUAUUGUAAUAUUGUAAUAGUAGGCAUAUUUGGGUUGUAAUAACUAUGUAUAGAUUGUAAUAGACUUAGUUAGUUUUAUUUGAUGAACUACAUUUGUACUGUUCUGUUUGAAAUAUUGAUUAUGUAUGCGAUUUGAAAACGUGUGGAAUGGAAACCUAAUUUGUGGGAUCCACUUAUGCAAA